rnacentral:rRNA from 1 species
GGUUGUCGGUCAGCUCGUGUCGUGAGAUGUUGGGUUAAGUCCCGCAACGAGCGCAACCCUUGUCUUUAGUUACCAUCAUUCAGUUGGGGACUCUAGAGAGACUGCCGGUGAUAAACCGGAGGAAGGUGGGGAUGACGUCAAAUCAUCAUGCCCCUUAUGGCCUGGGCUACAAACGUAAUACAAUGGCGUAUACAAAGGGAUGCGCAAGGGCGACCUGGAGCAAAACUCACAAAGUACGUCUCAGUUCAGAUUGGAGUCUGCAACUCGACUCCAUGAAGGCGGAAUCGCUAGUAAUCGCGGAUCAGCAUGCCGCGGUGAAUACGUUCUCGGGGUUU